GAUGAACCAGAUUAAGUAAGGCGUAGAUGCGGCAGGAAUUUGUCCGAUCCCACGAUCCUUGAGAAGUACCGAAGGAGCGAUCACAACAAGAACUUCGAGUUCCCCGAAUCGGCACGUCUUCCGCAGAUGGACCACCCUGACGAUCGAGGUCUGGGUAGAGUUUGUUUGACCGUUCCAGUCUGCAGGACCCCAGCAGCAUCAUUCACAAAAGCCAAGCCUCGAACUGCGGUUUUAAUUGGUAUCGACAAAUCGCAUCGGCUAUGUUGCAUCAAAUUAUAUGUCUAUUAGGAUGACAAUGCAGACGUCUUCGUAUCAAUACGUCUUCGAGUGUGCCGCCGUCAGAAUAACCGUUAUUUAGCUAAGUAGCUCGAGGAUCCGUAUAUAGCCGAUGCGGCGAACACACAUUCAUUCAGCACGGGUUCGCUUUCCGAACGGUUCCAGAUCCAUUCGUAAUAAAAAUAUAUUUUACCUCCGUGCCUGUGCCAUCCACAAAUUUUAAAAUAGUUUAAAAAUAAAUUUUAGCUAAUUUUGAAGUGCUCAUAGAUCGUAAUUUUAAUGUGCAGACUAUGCCCCAGUUGAUACGUACCGUCUGUAGGAAGAAGAAAAAAGUGAAUAAAUAAAUUCUGCUACAAGCUUAGUCCAUCCAUUUAUCAUUAUUUUUCUCUUCUAUGGCUGGUUAAAUUAUGUUUUUAUCCUUUUUCGUUUUGAAUUUUGUGUAUCUGUCAUGUUUAGCUAUACGAAACUGAGCGAAAAAGGAUGAAGAUGUAAUUUAAUCUGCCAUUGAAGAGCAUUUCAAAUCGAUUCCAUUUUACAUCACUUCAAUUACAUCCUAUACGGAUACGUCGAAUUUAUUACAUCGCUCAAAUUACAUCGGGUCUGUAUAUUACAUAAAUGCCGUCGAGUACAUCGGGCUGUGUAAUAUUAAUCUAUCGAUGUAACGACCUGGUUGCAGCGAUUUCGAUGUAAUAUUCAACAAC